UACAGAGGGUGCGAGCGUUAAUCGGAAUUAUUGGGCGUAAAGAGCUCGUAGGCGGUGUGUCGCGUCGGCCGUGAAAACCUGCAGCUUAACUGUGGGCUUGCGGUCGAUACGGGCAUCACUGGAGUUCGGCAGGGGAGACUGGAAUUCCUGGUGUAGCGGUGAAAUGCGCAGAUAUCAGGAGGAACACCGGUGGCGAAGGCGGGUCUCUGGGCCGAUACUGACGCUGAGGAGCGAAAGCGUGGGGAGCGAACAGG
rnacentral:rRNA from 1 species